UUCGUCUCCAGCGGCUGGCGAGCACUUUUCUCCAAGAGCUCUUCACACCGUUGAGAUCCUCUCGUCGAGGAGAGGUUGUGGGCACGAGGAGGAGCGAAGGUUGAGCUACCGAAACCCUAGAACCUCUCUUCCUCCGGUUGUAAGUUCAAAACAGCGAGAUAAAGAAAAAGGAAAGCUAAUAU